CCUACGGGCGGCAGCAGUGGGGAAUAUUGGGCAAUGGACGCAAGUCUGACCCAGCAAAGCCGCGUGAAGGAAGAAGGCUCUCGGGUUGUAAACUUCCUUUUAGGGGGAAGAGCAGAAGACGGUACCCCUUGAAUAAGCCAUGGCUAAAUACGUGGCAGCAGCCGCGGUAAUACGGAGGUGGCAAGCGUUGUCCGGAUUUAGUGGGUGUAAAGGGCGUGCAGCCGGAGAGACAAGUCAGAUGUGAAAUCCACGGGCUCAACCCGUGAACUGCAUUUGAAACUGUUUGCCUUGAGUGUCGGAGAGGUAGUCGGAAUUCGUGGUGUAGCGGUGAAAUGCGUAGAUAUAAGGAAGAACACCGGUGGCGAAGGCGGAUUACUGGACGAUAACUGACGGUGAGGCGCGAAAGCGUGGGGAGCAAACAGGAUUAGAUACCCUUGUAGUC
rnacentral:rRNA from 1 species